UCUCCGUGGUGGUUUCCUUCCCUGACUAGAAGAGAGUUUUGCAUAGGAAAUUUUCUUUGUUCCCCUUUUCUUGGAGUCUCUCUGUUUGUCUCCCCAACUCUCACCUGUCCAUCUGUCCAUUUCUCAAACCACUCAUUCUUCUGACAUGUUCCAAAAAGCACUUCAGGCAGCUUACAGAAGAACAGAUACCAAAUAAACAGGUGCCCUCACCCCCAGUAGCAUCAGUCCAGACACCAGCACUGACACUGGCCGUGCUCAGAACUGCCUCAGCCCUGAAGACACUGCUGACAAAUAGAAGAGGGCCGUGCCCUGUUACAGCAGGUGCUCUCACUUUGUGGGUCCUUAUGUAACUGUGUGGUGUUAAUCAGGAUCGCCCGUACUACAUAGUGUGACGCUGCUACGGUGUCUCCUAGUUAUUUUUUCUCUCCCUAAGGACCAGCCUUAGGGCAAGGGGCUGUGAUUCCCAGG